rnacentral:snoRNA from 1 species
UGGCGGUGAUGACUAUCUUAGGACACCUUUGGAAUAACCAUGAAAUAAUAACUUCUUUCUGAGCCAU